GACGAACGCUGGCGGCGUGCUUAACACAUGCACGUCGAACGGAGUGGCGAACGGGUGAGUAACACGUGGGUGAUCUGCCUUGCACUCUGGGAUAAGCUUGGGAAACUGGGUCUAAUACCGGAUAUUGCAAGAUGAGCGCGCGGCCUAUCAGCUUGUUGGUGGGGUACUGGCCUACCACGGCGUCGACGGGUAGCCGGCCUGACAGGGUGUACGGCCACAUUGGGACUGUGAUACGGCCCAGACUCCUACGGGGGGCAGCAGUGGAGAAUAUUGCACAAUUGGCGGAAGCCUGAUGGAGCGACGCCGCGUGGGGGAUGACGACCUUCGGGUUGUAAACUCCUUUCGACAGGGACGCGGUAACUAACCAGAAAGGGACGGCUAACUACGUGCCAGCAGCCGCGGUAAUAC
rnacentral:rRNA from 1 species